UACGGGGGGGGCAAGCGUUGUUCGGAAUCACUGGGCGUAAAGCGCACGUAGGCGGACUUUUAAGUCAGGGGUGAAAGCCUGAGGCUCAACCUCAGAACUGCCCUUGAUACUGGGAGUCUUGAGUAUGGUAGAGGUUGGUGGAACAGCAAGUGUAGAGGUGAAAUUCGUAGAUAUUUGCUAGAACACCAGUGGCGAAGGCGGCCAACUGGACCAUAACUGACGCUGAGGUGCGAAAGCGUGGGGAGCAAACAGG
rnacentral:rRNA from 1 species